AUAAACACACUUAAAAACAACAACACUUUCCAACAAAAAAACAGAUAUCACAAAACGAACAUUGUUGACAGGUCUAACUAAACAACACAUACAAAAAAUAUCAAAACAAAUAAAAAUACUUAACCACAACAUUUAAGCACAACAUUUCAAACUGAUUACAACAAUCAACCUGGUAUCAUUUGGUCCAAACAUCACUUUCCUCACAUCCUUAUCAUUUUUAACUCGCACCCACCCAUGUACUACAUUGUGUCUCUCAA
rnacentral:lncRNA from 1 species